rnacentral:rRNA from 1 species
GACGAACGCUGGCGGCGUGCUUAACACAUGCAAGUCGAACGCUGAAGCACCAGCUUGCUGGUGUGGAUGAGUGGCGAACGGGUGAGUAAUACGUGAGUAACCUGCCCUUGACUCUGGGAUAAGCCCGGGAAACUGGGUCUAAUACUGGAUGCUACAUGUCACCGCAUGGUGGUGUGUGGAAAGGGUUUACUGGUCUUGGAUGGGCUCACGGCCUAUCAGCUUGUUGGUGAGGUAAUGGCUCACCAAGGCGACGACGGGUAGCCGGCCUGGGAGGGUGACCGGCCACACUGGGACUGAGACACGGCCCAGACUCCUACGGGAGGCAGCAGUGGGGAAUAUUGCACAAUGGGCGAAAGCCUGAUGCAGCGACGCCGCGUGAGGGAUGACGGCCUUCGGGUUGUAAACCUCUUUCAGCAGGGAAGAAGCCACAAGUGACAGUACCUGCAGAAGAAGCGCCGGCUAACUACGUG